AGUGAACGCUGGCGGUAGGCCUAACACAUGCAAGUCGAACGGCAGCACAGGAGAGCUUGCUCUCUGGGUGGCGAGUGGCGGACAGGUGAGGAAUACAUCGGAAUCUACUCUGUCGUGGGGGAUAACGUAGGGAAACUUACGCUAAUACCGCAUACGACCUACGGGUGAAAGCAGGGGACCUUCGGGCCUUGCGCGAUUGAAUGAGCCGAUGUCGGAUUAGCUAGUUGGCGGGGUAAAGGCCCACCAAGGCGACGAUCCGUGGCUGGUCUGAGGGGAUGAUCGGCCACACUGGAACUGAGACACGGUCCAGACUCCUACGGGAGGCAGCAGUGGGGAAUAUUGGACAAUGGGCGCAAGCCUGAUCCAGCCAUACCGCGUGGGUGAAGAAGGCCUUCGGGUUGUAAAGCUCUUUUGUUGGGAAAGAAAUCCAGCUGGCUAAUACCCGGUUGGGAUGACGGUACCCAAAGAAUAAGCACCGGCUAACUUCGUGCCAGCCGCCGCGGUAA
rnacentral:rRNA from 1 species